rnacentral:lncRNA from 1 species
CAUUUCGCCUUCAGAUCCGUGCAGCGGGAUAACGGAACGGAACGGAUGGAGCCCGGACCCGACGCCCCCAUUUCAUCGUUUCUAAUUUUUUUUUUUUUCUACGUCCGACCCCAGAGGACGAAAAGGGAGGGUGGGAGAGAGGAGAAGACUCGCCGUCGUCUUCCCCGAACCCUCUUCUUCGCCGUCUUCUCCUCGCCUUCUACGCCGGACGCACUCGCGGUCUGCAGUCCCUCGAGAAGGUAAGUCUUUUAGGCUUGCCCUUCACUCUUUCUCGCUUGUCUCCAGUGACCGUCUACGCGUAUAUCUGUAUGGGCGUACGUGGUUAAACCACUGGCCCCCUUUCACCAAGUUUAAAAAAAAAAAUCGCUCCCAUUCUAUUUCUAAC